rnacentral:rRNA from 1 species
UGGUGGAGUGAUUUGUCUGGUUAAUUCCGUUAACGAACGAGACCUUAGCCUGCUAACUAGUUAUGUCGAUUUGCAUUGACGCUAGCUUCUUAGAGGGACUUUGUGAAUCAACACAAGGAAGUUUGAGGCAAUAACA